rnacentral:tRNA from 1 species
UAUCUUUAAGAAAAUUUCUUUACAUUUUCAGUGUAAUAUUUUGUUUAUAAACUAUAAAGAC